rnacentral:rRNA from 1 species
GUGGAUCGGGAAGUUGCCGACCAGGGAGGCGGGUCUGGACGUCACCGGCAAGGAUGGUGGCCCUCGAUGCCAGGGGCAGGGGUUGCUCGAUGACGAGGAUGGCCGCGUCCGACGCACAACUGGGGCCGCGACGGGGAUGGCAGCGUUCGCCGCGUCCGAUGCGGCCCGAUGUGAACCCGCAACUACUAACUGCUACUCUCUCUUUCUCACUUUCUUUGCUU